AUAUGACGAUAAGAUUUAAAAUCAAAAUCUCAUUGAACACUUCAAGGAAUGUAUUACAGGAAGAGGGGGAAAACAUGUAUGACUAAGAGAAGGUGGUGGCGCAGAUCACAUAGACCUGUGUGCUAAAACUUAUCACAAAUUUCACAUUGAAUGGAACAGUUUAAACAGGCUGGAGGAAGCAGACAUGCCAGCCCAAACUUUUUGAAUUUGAACAUUCUGUUCGUAAACAUCAGCAAAAUUGUGGGAAACAUGUUUAUUCUUUCUCUUUUAUUGCACAGAACCAUACGAUUAGACUGUUUUGAUGAGGAAUUUAAAGAUUAUGUGUCCCAUCCGUUUGACUCACCGUUUGGUACCAUAGGUUGGUACGAUCUUCGUUCGAGAAGAAAAAGGGAUGUUCCAGAUACAGAAAAUCGUCAAACCAUUUACUACAAAGUCCGUUUCUGGGUGGAGUUAGUGGAACCGAAAAAGAUGUCUCCCUCACAGCGUUUGUGACAAAAGAAUUGCAUCGUUCCUUGGCGGCCUUUCAACAGAAGAAUAUUCAGAGAUUUCCCGAGUGAUUCUGAUGUUGGUUCCUGGAAAGCCUCCAUGGUUGGAGGACGAGAAGCCGUAUCCAAUUGAAGCAGCACAGGCUUCUGCGAUGACUGUGGAAACCACUGCUUAUGCCUUGCUUCAAGCAUUGUCAAGGAAUGAUAUUGACUAUGCAACACCGAUUGCGAGGUGGCUAACGAUGCAACAGAACUAUGGUGGUGGAUUUCACUCGACGCAGGACACAAUCAUUGCCUUGGAAGCUUCAUCAUGAUAUGACAUUGCAUUUCUGAAGAGGGAAGAAGAAAUCAACAUGCAAAUUCAAUUCCAUAGUUUUGGAAGUCCCAUUGAGAACACGAUUCAUGUGUGCUGGCAUAAUGCUCUGACCGAGAAAGAAUCGAAGACAAGGAAAUAUUGGUGAUGCAAUGAAGAGUUUGAUUCUCAAAUAUAAUUGUUGUCAUAGCUUCCGCUUGGAAGAAAGAUUCACAUCAAGUUGACUGGUCAAGUAAAUGGGACACUGACUAACCAUACAAUUAGACUGUUUUGAUGAGGAACUUAAAGAUUACGAGUCCCGUCCGUUUGACUCAGAGUUUGGUACCAUAGGUUGGUACGAUCUUCGUUGGAGAAGGAAAAGGGAUGUUCCAGAUACAGAAAAUAGUCAAACCAUUUACUACAAAGUCCGUUUCUGGGUGGAGUUAGUGGAACCGAAAAAGAUGUCUCCCUCACAGCGUUUGUGACAAAAGAAUUGCAUCGUUCCUUGGCGGCCUUUCAACAGAAGAAUAUUCAGAGAUUUCCCGAGUGAUUCUGAUGUUGGUUCCUGGAAAGCCUCCAUGGUUGGAGGACGAGAAGCCGUAUCCAAUUGAAGCAGCACAGGCUUCUGCGAUGACUGUGGAAACCACUGCUUAUGCCUUGCUUCAAGCAUUGUCAAGGAAUGAUAUUGACUAUGCAACACCGAUUGCGAGGUGGCCAACGAUGCAACAGAACUAUGGUGGUGGAUUUCACUCGACGCAGGUAAAUGCUUGAGAUCACAACAACAGGCAUUCAGAUAUUUCCAUUGAUCAUGUUACUAACUGGUGGUUGUUGCAGUUUGCAAUCAAACUGGACACUGCAUUUUCAUCUGCAGGUUUGGUGCAUUGGCACAAAUACCAGUUCUUCAAUGGUGUUGAUCCUUGGUUAAAUUCUUACAUGCACUUUGCCUGUGCAUCACUUUUCCUCUUGGCAUUGUCCUUGAAAAGUGCCUGUUUCUGUAAACCUUCACUUACUUGUCAUAGGAUCAUUGAGGGACAGCAUAAUAGAGUGCUAUGGCAAUGGAACAGACCCUUCAGCAAAUUGUAUGUGCCCUCACAAGAUGCAAGUCCUGAACUAUUCUCAUCACAUUUCCCAGCACUCGACCCAGAGCCUUGUUUGCCUUGGCAUCGCAAAUGCCCAAUCAAAGACUUGUUAAAUGUUAUCAUGCUUUCUGCCUCUACCACCCACACAGUCGGUGCGUUCCACAUUCUCACCACAGUUUGGGUGCAAAAACAAGUAAGCUUCCUCAAGAGAUAGUAGGAACUUGCCAAUGCUGGAGAAUCCGAGAGAACAAGGUGUAGAACUGGAUGAACACAGCGGGCCGAGCAGCAUCAGAGAAGCAAGAAAGCUGACGUUUCGGGUCGAGACCCUUCUUCAAAAAUGGGGGAGGAGAAGGGGAUUCUGAAAAAAAUAGGGAGAAGUGGGGAGGCAGAUAGAAGAUUGGUAAAGGAGAAGUUAGGUGAACUGUCCUGUGCUGUCCACUCACUGUCCCCUGCUCCAGAAUCAUAGAAUAAGAGAAUUCUCCAGAAUUAGACCAUAAGGCCAUGAGACAUAGGAGUGGAGGUAAGGCCAUUCGCCCCAUCAAGUCCACUCCACCAUUUAAAUCAUGGCUGAUGGGCAUUUUUACACCACUUCCCUGCACUCUCCGCGUAGCCCUUGAUUCCUUUUGAGAUCAAGAAUUUGUCGAUCUCUGCCUUGAAGGCGUCCAACAUCCCGGCCUGCACUGCACUCUGCGGCAAUGAAUUCCACAAGCCCACCACUUUCUGCCUGAAGAAAUGUCGUCUGAUUUCAGUUUUAAAUUGAACCCCUCGAAUUUUAAGGCUGUGCCCACGGGUCCUCGUCUCCCCUGCUAACGGAAACAACCUCCUAGCGUCCACCUCUUCUAAACCAUACAUUAUCUUGUAAGUUUUUAUUAGUUCUCCCCUCAACCUUCUAAACUGUAGUGAGUACAAUCCCAGGAUCCUUAGCCAUUCAUUGUAGGUGAAGCCUACCAUUCCAGGGAUCAUCUGUGUGAAUUGAACAAGCACUUCAUUCCAUUGUGUCUGUAACCACUGAAGCCACACUAAGUUCACAUUCGGCUCAUGUUUUAGCAAUAGGCCCGUUGCCUUGAAUGUUAUUUCAUUUUAAGUGCUGUACCAACCUUUUUUCUUUAAUGUAAAAAGAUUAUCCACCACCUCAACUAAAGUCCCAGACAAUGAAUUCCAAACCCCCAGCACCUUCUGGGUGUCUUUUCUUUCCUGAAAUUCCUUCUGAGCCUUUUAGCUUAAAUGUAUGUAUCUCUUCCCCCCC